rnacentral:rRNA from 1 species
CCUACGAGAGGCAGCAGUGGGGAAUAUUGCACAAUGGGGGAAACCCUGAUGCAGCGACGCCGCGUGAGUGAAGAAGUAUUUCGGUAUGUAAAGCUCUAUCAGCAGGGAAGAAAUACUGACCUUACGGUCAGCAGACGGUACCUGACUAAGAAGCCCCGGCUAACUACGUGCCAGCAGCCGCGGUAAUACGUAGGGGGCAAGCGUUAUCCGGAUUUACUGGGUGUAAAGGGAGCGUAGACGGCAGCGCAAGUCUGAAGUGAAAUCCCAUGGCUUAACCAUGGAACUGCUUUGGAAACUGUGCAGCUGGAGUGCAGGAGAGGUAAGCGGAAUUCCUAGUGUAGCGGUGAAAUGCGUAGAUAUUAGGAGGAACACCAGUGGCGAAGGCGGCUUACUGGACUGUAACUGACGUUGAGGCUCGAAAGCGUGGGGAGCAAACAGGAUUAGAUACCCGGGUAGUC